rnacentral:rRNA from 1 species
GACGAACGCUGGCGGCGUGCUUAACACAUGCAAGUCGAACGGUAAGGCCCUUCGGGGUACACGAGUGGCGAACGGGUGAGUAACACGUGGGUGAUCUGCCCUGCACUUCGGGAUAAGCCUGGGAAACUGGGUCUAAUACCGGAUAGGACCACUGACUGCAUGGGCGGGGGUGGAAAGCUUUUGCGGUGUGGGAUGGGCCCGCGGCCUAUCAGCUUGUUGGUGGGGUGAUGGCCUACCAAGGCGACGACGGGUAGCCGGCCUGAGAGGGUGACCGGCCACACUGGGACUGUGAUACGGCCCAGACUCCUACGGGAGGCAGCAGUGGGGAAUAUUGCACAAUGGGCGCAAGCCUGAUGCAGCGACGCCGCGUGAGGGAUGACGGCCUUCGGGUUGUAAACCUCUUUCAGCACCGACGAAGCGCAAGUGACGGUAGGUGCAGAAGAAGGACCGGCCAACUACGUGCCAGCAGCCGCCGUAA